AUGAAAUUGAUAAACCCAUCAGAAAGACAGCCAGUGAUGAAGGAAAUUCUGUCUGAGUUUGGGCUUCAGGGAGUCAGUCAUGGUUUCACACCAACUAAAGUCCCCAACGUAAAGUAUGAGCUCAGUAAGUCUCCGUCUUCGUUUUCUAUGAGGACGGGUGCAGCUGCCUCUGCACAGGUCACAGCCCACAGAGACUUCAACGCUGUCCGAUGCCAUGCCUUGGAAAUGAUCCAUAAAGCGUUCUCAAUGCUUGACCAAGAGUUCCAAAAGCUUGACGGAGAAAGGUCAGAGCUUGCUCAAGCUACCGCAGCUCUUAAGUAUGAGAGAGAAGCUCUCCAAGCCCAACACCUGCAACAAGAGGCAGAACUACAGGAAAUGUUGGAGAGACACAGAGCCCAGAAUGAGAACUGGCUACGUGCACGGGCAGAGGAGAAUGACAAGGAGAGGAAGGAGCUGUGUAAACUCAGGGAGGAUAUUGUGCAGGAGCAAGAAAGACUAAAAGAGGAGCAGGGAAACAUCCAGAAACGAAGCGAGCACCUCCUAUCCAUCAUGAAACAGUUCAAAGGCAUGUAAAUACAUGUCUCCAUAGCAACCAACUGGAGAAAACAGAUCUCCCGUGGAUAAAAUGGAAGAAUAGAUUUGACAUUCAUUUGUGUUUUCUGCUGGUGUGUUUGAAUAAUUAGCAUUGUGAGCAUAGGAGAAAUUUGCAUUUGUUGUCUUUUGCCAAAGAGUCAUCUUAUCUUAGAGAGGCGGUGAGGUCAGAGGAAUCAUGUUGACCUUGUCAUAAAAGGGAUAAUAUUUUAACCUGACUGGUACAAAAUCCUAGAGCAUACUAAGUGGGACUAUUAUGAAGGCCUAUGGAAAAUGUUGUAAAGGAAAGUAACAAACAAUCAAUCUGUUUUGUGUUGAAUAAUAAAGCAAUAGUGCAGCGCUCUUUGUAGUUUUGCACAUAUCUGCAGAGAUACACAUUCUGUUCCCUAAUCUUUUAAAUAAUCACACACACUUUUACAGUUUUACACUUUUCAGAUAAUGCAAUCAAGAGAUUUGAUUGUAUUGUAUUUUAUUCUAGCUAAAUCUGGGUAAACCAGAUAGAUUAUUAGGAAAUGGAUGUGUAUGGGAAUAGAUUACUCAAAUAAAAUGUGAAAAU
rnacentral:lncRNA from 1 species